GGGUUCUUAGCUCAGUUGGUAGAGCAGCUGACUCUUAAUCAGUAGGUCGCGUGUUCGAGCCACGCAGGACCCA
rfam:Burkholderiales bacterium RIFCSPLOWO2_02_FTLL_57_36 rifcsplowo2_02_scaffold_5250, whole genome shotgun sequence.